rnacentral:rRNA from 1 species
ACGUCAAGUCAUCAUGGUUCUUACGGGUCGGGCUACAAACGUACUACAAUGGCGAUAACAGUGGGUCGCGAUGCCGCAAGGCAAAGCCAAUCCUCAAAUAUCGCCCCAGUUCAGAUUGUCCUCUGCAACUCGAGGGCAUGAAGUCGGAAUCGCUAGUAAUCGCUGAUCAGAAUGCAGCGGUGAAUACGUUCCCGGGUCUU